GAUGAACGCUGGCGGCGUGCUUAACACAUGCAAGUCGAACGGAGCACCCUUGAAGGAGUUUUCGGACAACAGAUAGGACUGCUUAGUGGCUGACGGGUGAGUAACGCGUGAGGAACCUGCCGUGGAGAGGGGAAUAACACAUGGAAACGUGUGCUAAUACCGCAUGACAUACAUUUAUCGCAUGGUAGCUGUAUCAACGGUUUAUCGCUCUGAGAUGGCCUCGCGUCUGAUUAGCUAGUUGGUGGGGUAACGGCCCACCAAGGCAACGAUCAGUAGCCGACCUGAGAGGGUGAUCGGCCACAUUGGGACUGAGACACGGCCCAAACUCCUACGGGAGGCAGCAGUGGGGAAUAUCGCACAAUGGGGGAAACCCUGAUGCAGCAACGCCGCGUGAAGGAAGAAGGGUUUCGGCUCGUAAACUUCUAUCAACAGGGAAGAAAUAAAUGACGGUACCUGAAUAAGAAGCCCCGGCUAACUACGUGCCAGCCGCCGCGGUAAUAC
rnacentral:rRNA from 1 species